UUUUAGUGGCGGACGGGUGAGUAACGCGUGGGUAACCUGCCUCACACUGGGGGAUAACACUUAGAAAUAGGUGCUAAUACCGCAUAAGCGCACGGGACUGCAUGGUCUUGUGUGAAAAACUCCGGUGGUGUGAGAUGGACCCGCGUCUGAUUAGCUGGUUGGCGGGGUAACGGCCCACCAAGGCGACGAUCAGUAGCCAGCCUGAGAGGGUGGACGGCCACAUUGGGACUGAGACACGGCCCAAACUCCUACGGGAGGCAGCAG
rnacentral:rRNA from 1 species